UGAGGAAUAUUGGUCAAAGGGCGAGAGCCUGAACCAGCCAAGUAGCGUGCAGGAUGACGGCCCUAUGGGUUGUAAACUGCUUUUAUGUGGGGAUAAAGUGCGUGACGUGUCAUGCAUUGCAGGUACCACAUGAAUAAGGACCGGCUAAUUCCGUGCCAGCAGCCGCGGUAAUACGGAAGGUCCGGGCGUUAUCCGGAUUUAUUGGGUUUAAAGGGAGCGUAGGCUGUCUAUUAAGCGUGUUGUGAAAUAUACCGGCUCAACCGGUGGCUUGCAGCGCGAACUGGUCGACUUGAGUAUGCAGGAAGUAGGCGGAAUUCAUGGUGUAGCGGUGAAAUGCUUAGAUAUCAUGACGAACUCCGAUUGCGCAGGCAGCUUACUGUAGCAUAACUGACGCUGAUGCUCGAAAGUGCGGGUAUCAAACAGG
rnacentral:rRNA from 1 species